AACAAACGCUGGCGGCGUGCCUAACACAUGCAAGUUGCGCGAGAAAGUCCCCUUCGGGGGAUGAGUAAAGCGGCGAAAGGGUGAGUAACACGUGGGUAAUCUGCCCUUGGGACUGGGAUAACUCGCCGAAAGGUGGGCUAAUACCGGUUAAGACCACGCGGACUAAUGUCCGUGCGGUAAAAGAUGGCCUCUCGACGAAGCUAUUACCUGAGGAUGAGCCCGCGGCCUAUUAGCUAGUUGGUAGGGUAACGGCCUACCAAGGCGAUGAUGGGUAGCCGGCCUGAGAGGGUGUACGGCCACACUGGAACUGAGACACGGUCCAGACUCCUACGGGAGGCUG
rnacentral:rRNA from 1 species